GCCCCGCCCCUUCACCUGGAGCCCACAGGUUCGAUCAGCUGACGCCCGCGUCUCCACACCUACAGUCUUAAGUUUGUAGAGACCUGUCCGUCGGUGCCAGGAGACCUCAGCUCUCAGGGGAACGCAGAUUGCUCGCGUGGUCACGAGAAGAGCCAAGAUUUACAAAAACAAACAGUUGAGGGGCCCUCAAAAAGGCCUUGACACUGGAAUGGCCCAUUGGUAUCCAUGGGAACUGAAAGGACAAAGGCUAAAAUUGGUGAGCAGGUGUUGCUUAAGAAAACAUUUAAAAGUUGGAAGUAACUGUAAAGGAAAUAGAAGGGAUUCAAGAAGUCCAAGUCCCCUUAGGAACUAGGAGGGUAGGCCAGUGGUGGGGUGCUUGCUUACACUGCACAAAGCCCUGGGUCCCAUACCAGACAGUUUAUAAAACGAAGCAGGAUGGUGUGGCACAGCCCUGUAACCUCAGACCUUGGAGGUGGAGAGAGGAGUACCACAAAUUCACGAUCCCUUUCAGCUACAAAUCAAAUUCAGGGCCAGCCUGGGCUACGUGAGACACCAUCAAAAAAGGAAGAGGAGGGAAGACUGUACAUCCUGUCAUCCAGUUACUGAAGAGGACAUAGAAGAUAUAGAACAACUGGGAUUGUUGCUUUCUUCAUGAACCAUAGGAUAACCGGCAGAGAAAAAUGGUAGCGAAGGAGGCAGCAACACUUCGAGAAAUACCAAGUGCAAGGGUUUAUUAGGCAAGAAGAUUCAAGGGGCCUGGAGAGAUGGCUCAGCGGUUAAGAGCACUGACUGCUCUUCCAGAGGUUGAGUUUGAUUCCCAGCAACCACGUGGCGACUCACAACCAUCUGUAAUGAGAUCCGAUGCCCUCUUUUGGUGUUCUGAAGACAGCUACAGUGUACUCACAUAAAGAAAAUAAAUACAUCUUUAAAAAAAGAAUUCAAGGAGAGAAACAUGCACAUUAGCUAUCCUAGAUCUUUAGUAAAUUUCAUUUUUUUUCUAUGAAACCGUACUGGUCAGCCUAGCAUAGGAGUGAAAACUUUAAUUCCUGGAAAGCAUCUCUCUGAGUUCAAGGCCAACCUAGACUACACUGCAGGUUCCAAGCCAGCCAGAGUUAUAUAUUGAGACCCUUGCCACAAACAAAACGACAAAAGUACUGGUCAGAUCCAGGCUCAAGAAGUUGUAAGUACCUUAGGUAGGUAGUUACGACAAGUUUCACUUCAAUACGAACAGAAUAAACCCAGUGUGCUGACUAAACGUGAGUCUAUGGUGAAAACUGACCUUGUUUCAUACAAGUUGCCAAGUUCAAGGGCAAAAAUGGAGAAAAUGAGGAAGGUAAUGCCCGAUGAUUAAGCACGGGAGGCAAGGAACCCAGAAUGCUGGGAGAGCCUGGUACCCAGCUAAACACAUGGACAAGUUACAAUGGUUCUUAAAAUUAGAGAUCACCAGGAUAAAUGGAAAAUGUUCUAAGGAAAACACUGGAAAUGCCCGAGGUGGACCCAGCAGCCCUCCAGGCACAACAACAAAGCAAAGCUGUAAAUAGGCUAAGGAGUAUAACAAUUCCACUUCUCCAUACACACCAAGAGUAGUGACCCCAAGUUAUCACCCAGAAGCUUCCAUUCAGAUGCUGGUAGCUGUGCUGUUGACAGCAGCCAAGUGGAAACCCAAGUGUCCAUUAGAGUUUAGCUCUAGCAUUUUCAUUCAGUACAACAGUAGCUCUCAACCUGUGAACUGUGACCACCCCCCGCCCCCCAGUGGCCGAAUAUCAGACCUGUAAGUCAGAUAUUUACUUAUGAUUAAUAAUAGCAAAAUUAGUUAUGAAGUAGCAACAAAAUACUUUUAUGGUUGGGGUCAAUAUGAGGAGCUAUAGUAAAGGGUCGCAGCAUUAAGAAAGUUGAGAACCAGUAGAUUAGAGGUGCUUUGGAAAAGGAAAUGACCACUAAUGGUAUAGGGUUUCUUUUGGGAGGUGAUGAAGAUAUUCUGGAAUUAGAUAAUAGUGAUGGUUAUAUAGCAUUGUAAAAUCUACAAGAAAACUUUUAGCAAGGUGUAGCCAGUGAGAUGCCUUAACAGGUAAAAGUGCUUGCCACCAAGCGUAAAAAUUUAAGAUUGAUGGCUGGGAUCCACAGUGUGGGAGAAAAGAAGCCAAAAGCUGUCUUCUGAUGUGUAAAUCUCGUGUGUGAGCACACAUGCCCUCCCCCCAACACACACAUACACAAUUCUUAAAGUGAUUGUAAGGCGUGUAAAUUAUCUCUUUAAAAAAAAACUGCAAGGGCUGAAGAGAUGGCUUAGUGGUUAAGAGCACUGACUGCUCUUCCAGAGGUCCUGAGUUCAAAUCCCAGCAACCACAUGGUGGCUCACAACCAUCUGUAAUGAGAUCUGAUGCCCUCUUCUGAUGUGUCUGAAGACAGCUACAGUGUACUUAUAUAUAAUAAAUAAAUCUUUUAAAAAAUGCAAAACUAAAACUCACCCAUCUCCCUAGAAAUCCCCUUUUCAGUGAACUUAUAAAUCUUAAGCUUACAGUAGACCUAUUUUCCUCAUACUGACAGUCAUCUCUAUUAAACUAUUUCAUGACCAUUAUUGCUAUACACUUGUCAUCAAAGGCCAGUAUGUACCAGUCAAUUCUUGCCUCCCUAUAUUUGCCCCCAACCUCUUCACUUUUGGCAUCAUCUCAAGUAAUAAAGUGAAUGACGGGC